GCGCAAGUGGAGGGGACGGGGGGGGGGCACCCUGGGUCUGUUCUACAGGGUCCCUUCCCAUUCGGUGUCAUUGUGCUCUGACAAUCUAUUUAUCAAGAAGGUUCUGCGAUGUCUCAUUAGUCUCCUCCCUCUUCUGCCUGGAUUCAGAAAGAUAAAGCCCUUCUGCUUGGGAGCAGCAAACAAGGUGCCAGCAGGCCCUGUGGCCCACCUGGAUUUGGUUAUACACUUUUUAAAAGGAAUAGUAUUAUCCAAGUGCUGUAAUCCCAGUGGAUCCGGAGGCUGAGGCAGGAGGAUCGUGAGUUCAAAGCCAGCCUCAGCAACAGCGAGGCGCUAAGCAACUCAGUGAGACCCUGUCUCUACAUAAAAUACAACAGGGCUGGGGAUGUGGCUCGGUGGUACAUCAGUGACCCAUCCCCAGCCCUGGAAAAAAUAAUAGUUAAGUGUUAAGUAUUCUCCCUUCCUUCCUUCCUUCCUUUCUUCCUUUUCUUUCUUUCAAAUUUCUGAAACCCAAGGACCAGCCAAUAUUUAUAGGUUCAAAACCAAUCUUGACCUGGCUCAGGGGAGGAGCAACAGGCUACAGGGCUUAGCAGCAGGAGGCAAAAAAGGGCAGUGUCCCAGGGCCCCGGGCCACAGCGCACCUGGGGAUGAGACCCGGCUCUGCUGGGCAGCUGGCCACCACCUGGCUAGGCAGGGGCAGCCCAGGAUGGAGACCGGCCUGUAGCUGAGGCCUGGGGAGAAGCAGAGGGAGGAGUGGGUCUUGGAGUGAAGCUUCCUCUCAACCCCGCUUAAGUGCCUGGAGUUACCCUGGGAGAUUGCCUUCCCGGACAUUGGGGUCCUUCUCUCUAAGCGCUGAGAAGGAGUCGAUUAUUAGCAGCAUGGAGUGCUCGCUCUCUCUGUGGUGCAGUGUUCUCCCUGGCUUGUUCUCUCUCUCUCUCUCUCUCUCUCUCUCUCUCUCUCUCUCACACACACACACACACACACCUCCACCAGAAGCCACUUCACUGAAGAUCCCACCCAACAGCCCGUGGAUGCACUCAUCCACUCAGUGGCCGUGGGGGAUCCCGAGGUCUCCCCACCAUGCACCAGCACAGCAGGAGGUCAGGCAACAGGGCAGGAGGAAGGGGCUGGAUUUCAGGAGCAGGGCUGCUCCCACAGAGGGCAUCCUGGGGAGGGGCUCUGCAGUCCUUGAGGCUAGGGGCCAUGACAGCCACUGGCCCAGAGGCUGCUGGGAUCCAGGCUCAGCAGAGCCGCUGUCUGAUCCAGGGGACACGUGGGCAGGCCUGGAAGCACCUGGACAUCACUGAAGGCAGGGUGGCUUCAGGUUGUCAGAGACACAGAGAUCAAAAGAGAAGUGGAGAGAGACACAUGGGGCCAGGCCAGGGGUCUGCUCAGACUCUAAGGGCCCCUCAGGCCUCCUGCUGCCCAACACCAGCAGGCUGUGCCUCUGCCCUGGGGCCCAGAGGGCACUUCUCCAUGCAGGUCUGUCCUCCGGGGCUGUGGGAGUGGCGGAAUCAGCUCCUCUUAGGCAAAGGUGAGCCCCAGGGAGAAGGAGCAGCCAGAGCGUCCCAGCAUGGGCAGCAGGAAGUCUUAGCGUGAGGCGUGCCAGGACUGUGUGGAGACAGGGCCAGGGCCAGCCCUGCUGUGGAUGGCACCAGGGGGAGAAAUCUGGGUUUCAUUCAAAGCCUGACUCACAAAACUGAGCCUCACCACCUCCAGCUGCAGAAGCCUGACCUGUGGGCCACUGUGUUUUGGAGUCACCUCUUUGUCCCAACAGGCCUGGUUCCCCAGGGUCUGCCCCAGCCAGCCUCUGGGGGGACAGCAAGGCAGGCCCAGUUCUGGAGGUGAGGGAAGACCCUCACCCCCAGCAGCCGGGGAUGGAACGGCACCUACUAUAGCAAUUAAAGAGCCCUCCUGCAGCGACUGGGUCAGUUCUUGUGGUGAGGAUCGUGACCAGUGUCGUAAUCAGAGCUUAACAGCUACCACAGGUCCGGAAGGCCCAACCAGGUCUGACCCAGCUCCUGCACCUCCCUGCCACAGCCCCCCCGCCCCCUUCACGCUCCCCGGCCUUCUCCAGCUCUGGCCUCCUGUCCACAGGCGUUCUGGGGUAAGUUCCGUCAUCUUUCACCCUGUCUUGAUGUCUGCUUUCAGUAGAUGCAGACUGUCUCAUGGGACAUGCAUGGCCAUUGUUGGCAAGAUGACUGACAGAAGCCUCACCAGGGCCUGACAAAGGAGAGGAGGGCAUUGCAGAGGGGGAGACUGAGGCUUGCAGGGAGCGGGCAGGUUUGGCAGCAGAGAUCCCACCUCUGCCCACGGGGUGCCAUCCCCAUCUGCUGAUGGGCUGGACUCUGACCUGCAGGUCAUUAUCAAGACUUUAAUUGGCAGGCUUCAAAGCCUGAGACACUCCUAACCAGAGCUGGUAGUUUAGUUAUUACAGAUCACGUGCUGGAACUUCGUCAUUCAUUAAAAGGAACCAAUGCAUACUAUGGUAAGAGGUCACUGAAAUAGCUGCAGAGUGCAGAAAGGGAGCACCCCCCAGGGCACAGUCAUGGCUGCCACCCCCUUGGAACCAGGGAUGCUGCCUGCACGCUGUGCUCCUGGAGAGGGUGCUGCACAGCAAGCCUGGAGCAGCCAGGGGAUGAUUUCAACCUACUAGGGCAGCUUGCCAUUUAGCAGCCCCCGUGGGCUCGGGAGCAUGGGUGAGCCUGGGGGUUCCAGAGAGGUCUCGGGGUGGGGGAGGAUGUGUGCAGGGGACUUGGGCCUGAGUAAGGGACAGACAGCAGCACUAGCGGAGGAAGGCUCAGUCAGAAUAGCCAUGGGAGCCUUGUCUCAGGAAAAGAGGAGAGAAGAGACCACCUGUUACAAAAAAAGGAUCAUUCAUAGUGCUCACUAAAACACAGUGCGGAAGGCUCCAUUCAGGAGCAAAGACAGGACAGGACCACUGCAGCGGGGCCUUGUAGUGGGAAAGGACGGUCCCAAGUCCCAGCACAGCAUGGGCAAAUGGGGGCUUACCGCCGAGGAACAGGGUGGGGUCGGCCCGUGGGAACCCACCAAGAGGGGCCUCAGGGUUCUGGUUGAACUACCCGAGGACCCAGGCGGCACAGGGCUUCCUACGCACACGCCCACCCCGGGCCCAGAAGCAGGGUUGGGGAGGCUUGCAGGUAGGGCUGGCGCAUGACAGGGACCACAGAGGGAGGGCUGAGUCUGGGCUGGCCACACAGCCGAGCCAUGGCCUCUGCCAGGCUGGUACUGGGGCCUCCCACACGGGAGGAGCCCGUGGGUGUGUCCAGGGCCAGGCGGCUGCCUGGGUUGGCGCCACGAGAAGCUCCCUGUGUGGGGCCACUUGUCCUUUUCUAGGGAAACCCAGCACUGACACUUCCCUGUUUAGAUGAGGAAUUUGGCCAAGGUCCACCCAAGUCCUGGUUGAAAGCCCACUCUCCCCACUUAGCACCCCAUCCCAGGGGCUGUCCCCACGGUGUCAGACGGUGUCAGCGCUGUGCCUGAGGUCCUGGAGGGUGUGUGGAUCAGCACAAGGCAGAACCCCACUCGGUGGCCCUCUCCCUGUCUCAGGUUUUGGCUUCCUAACGGGGAAAGUAGACAUAAUCAUGGAGUCUGCUUACUUACACACAGAGGUUGGGAGAAGCUCUGAGGGUCGCCCAAGGUCACACCACGCAGUCAUUACAAAUCAUGCCACAGGGGGACUUUCCUGACGUGGAAGUGUGCCUGAAUCUUCCGUGAAAACACAAGAAUACCCUCUACGAGCAGAAGGGAGGCAGUGAGGACUCGGGCAGAGUCAGGGAUGGACCUGUGAGAGAGGUGGGGUUCAGCUGCGAUGGGCUGACCACAAGACAGGAGACCAUCCCUGGGGAUCCAGGGGGGCCAGAUAAAGCCAGAAGUGGAGUUGCCUUGAAGCUGGAAAAGUAGAGAAAACUGUGGGCCCCCAGAGGGACUAGCUCCACGGACACUUGGCCCAUACUGGGCUUGGGAAGUGCAGAGCUGUAACUGAGGAUGCUGUUGGAGACCUUGAAAUCAGGGUGGUUUGUUACCACCGCAAAAGAAGCUCAGGCAGCCGGCGCUCCCCGCGGGCCACCGCAGAGCGCAGGGAGGGGAAGGUGGUGGGCUGGCUCCAGGUUUGCUCUGUGCCAGUGCCUGCCCACUGUCCGCGUCCCUGGUCGACUCAGUGACCCCGGGCAACACAUCAUCCAAGUGCUUCUUGCUGAAGGCCUGUUUGCUUCUCUCCAGUUUUAAUUUGUGUCACAAGUGCAGAGAUGAGCGGCAGCCUGCCAGGUCUGCACCAAGAACCCUGGAGGAGGGUCUCCCCAGAGAACCCACACAGAGCCCUUUUAUGAGGUUCAGGCCUCAACACCUGAUUGGAAGCAACUGCUCCUCCCACCCGACAGGUGAGUAAGCUGCUUGGGGCUCGGGGAUGGCCCAGCUCAGACUCAGGCCCUGCCCACGGGUCUCACGUCUUGCCACACGGUAUCCAACACCUGUAUCAGUUAAAACAUCUCACUUUCAAUCAAUAGAAAUGUUCUUCUUAAAUGUAUUUAUGGAUUUAUUUAUUGCAGUACUGGGAAUUAAACAGAAUGGGCCUUAGAGGAAUUGAAACACAUCAGUUGAGAUGAUUGGCUUAUUUCCUUGAUAGAUCUCACAUCAGACAACUGGGCCUGAAUUGCCGCAGGUUCUGAAAUGGGUCCAGUCCGGUGCAAAGAGAUCAGCCUCACACAAAUAACCCAGUGUGAGACCCAGAGUGCUGUCUGGGACGUUGCCAGCAGGACCUUGCUGGGCUCUAACAGGUAUUUCCUCCUAGAACCUUUUCGCCAGCCAACCCCAUGUGUCCCUGGCUCCUCACCAAAGGAAAAGGAGAAAUGCUUCCUUCCUUCUUCCUCCUGGGGCUUCUUCCCUCUGCCUGGGGCAGACCCACUGCCACUGCACCGGGGCAGAAGCUCCCGCAAGGAUGUCACUGUGCCUGGGAUCUGAGUCGCCAGCCAAUUACAAGGAUGUACUUGCUAUGACUGAGAACCGGCAGGUUGGCAGGAGGGCAGCUCGGCAGGCUGGCAGAGCAGGUUUCUGGCCGGGGACCCAGCCCCAAACCAAGUUUACAAAACAGCUGCUCCGCUGGGGCCCUGUGAUGAGCAAGCCCGUCAGGGUGGACUCCAGGUGGUGCUGAGCUGCGGUCAUCAGAAGGAAUGCCCCAAACAUUAACAAGGCCAGGAAGGCCAGAGAUCUGGUGAGCCUUGGUGACCUCGCAGCCUGUCAUCAGCCCGGCCCAGAAAUGGGCCCCUGUCUUCACUGGCUGCUCAGCCUCGUACCCAUGGGAGAAGAGCCGGCAGCACAACCACACAGCCCUGCUGCACGCCUGGGCAGCCUGCUUGGUCCUGGGAGUAAACCACCAGAUCCCAGAGAAAACCUAAGUUGACAAAGCACAGCUCCAGUCAGAGGCACCCAAAUGACAGUCACAGAAAACGCCCUCUCGCCCGAACUGCCUUUUUACUAACAUGUUGAUUGACACACACUCUUGUCCACCUUUGGAAAGUGGGUGAUGCUUUGAUCUCGUGCACAUGGAGCCACAGUAAGGCAGGGUGAUGGGCGUGCUGUCGCCUCGUGCUGAUGCUCUACGGCAGGACAACGUAGGAAUGUCGUGCUGUUGCUCUAUCUCAUGCCAACGCAGGAACGGCCUCGCCACGUCAGAGCGCUUUCACAGCCGUCACCCAUUCACUUCUCACGGCAUGCCUGAUGGGGGCUGCAUGGCCAGCGCACCCUCAUGGGAGGACACUGAGUCUGGCAGCGAGGCCCCUAUGUGGGGAUCGGCCUGCCAGCCCUGCUCUGCCAGGCUCCCCUUUGUCACCUGCCCCUCCCAGGCAGCCUUCAGGCCCGGCCAGAGGCGUUGAUUGCUACUGCUAGAAGAGGACAUGGCGAUCUACACUUUCAGCAGGCUUCGAGGCACUUGUUACAAUGGACUCGCUGAAGAGCAGAAGCGCUGUGACUAAGGAUUCAGCUGGGACAGCAGCAUGCUGGGGCUGAUGUCCACAGGUGGAGCUGGAAGGUCACCCUGCUGCAGAACACACUUGCAGGAGACCUUCUUCUGGAGGGAUGGCACUGGCCAGUGGGUGAGAACUCGACUCCUGCCUGCACAUCACCGGGGGCUCACAGUCGCCUGCAGAGAGACUCCAAGACUGGAGCCAGGACCAUCCCCCACUCCCUGCCUGGGAUUACUUCCUGGUGCGUGAGUUGCCAGUGACCUGCUAGUUCUUAAGGGUCAAAGUUCACGGCUCUCCUUGUUAUUGCUACCCUAUUUACAAAGAGAAUUUGAAGCAACAGCUUCUUGAGUCAUUUUUACCAUUUUUAGAUGCAAUUCCUCCUGUCUCUCUGAGCGACUGGUCUCUAAUGUCCCUUCUUCCUGUCCCCCUCAGUAGGAAAGACAGGAGUUUUAGCAUUCCACAGGGCACCAAGUUCAUUUCUCAUGCAGCCCAUUGUGGCCACGUCCAAGUUCAGGACAGGAUGAAAGCAGAGUUGGCCUUCGCACUUUCCAGGAGUUCCUAAAGGGAAGAAGCGCUAAUUUUCUUGUUCUUCCUUCCUCUUUACUGGCUAGGACAGGAACCGAAUGACUGGUGCUCUGCAGCUCUUUUGGAACAUGAAGUAGCCUUGGCAACGGAAGUCAAGCAUGGCAAAACACGGCUGAAAAGGAGCCUAGUCCCUGAUGCAGGGGUGUGUCACCGUGGAUGGGGUGCUUCCGGGCUUCCUGACUGUGAGAGGCCAUCUUCUGAUCUUUUUAUGCUGCGUUCAGUUGUAGUCACAGGUGAUUCUAAUAAACACAUCUCGCCUUUUUCCUCCUCUCAGCCGAUACUGAGGAGAAGGAUAGAUCAGGUGGGAGGGGGGUACAGGAAGUACCAGGGCAGUCGGGACAAGAUCCAUCAGCAGCUGUUGCUCAGAAUUUCCUUCCAUCGGCCGCCAUUCAGCUCCUCAGUCUUUCCUGGCGUCUCUCUAUGAAAACUUGAAAUGAAAGCACCUAAGAUCCGAGUGCCCAUUCUCUCACCAGCUCGGAGUCGGGCAGGGCGGUCACUGUCAGCCCCUCAGUGGGUGAGGGAGUGGCCAUUCAGCACGACACAGCUGGUGUGUGAGAAUACCAGACUCCCACUGGGACUCGCUGAAGGGGACGAGACCCCCCAGAGUCCCUGGUGUCACUUCUGUCCUCCAGCGACGGCAGCACCAUGGCUGUGCGUCAACACAGGCGUCCCCUCAGUGGAGAGGCUCAGCGGCACCUCAUUUCUGUGGCGCGGAAGCCACCAGUUCUAAAUUGUGCCCCCCCAGAGCUGCCUCUCUGUGAAGCUGCGGCCCUCCAGCCCUGAGCAAGUGUCCAGAGACAGGUGAGUGGGUAGACAAAAGGCAGUCCACCCGACAACAACCCUAGUGAGGAGGAGAUCCGGACAGACAGGACCACGGAAAUGAGCCCUGAGGACCAGCUCAGUGAUACCAGCCAGCCAGCCACUGAAGGUCACAUCUCGUGUGAUUCCACCUUUAAGGUACCUACUGCAGUCCCCUUAGCUGCAGUUUCACUUCCUACAACCUCAGUUACCUACAGUCAACUACAGGCCACAAAUAUGAAACGAAAAACCCCAGAAAUGCACAAUUCAUGUUUUACAUUGUGCCCACCUCUUCUGCACAGCAUGGCAGGCUGCCCAACUCAAGCCAUCCAGGACGUGAAUCAUCCCUUUCACCCGAGCAUCCAUGGUGCAUACCCUACCCACUUGGUAAACACUUAGCAGCUGUCUCAGUUAUCAGGUUGAGUGGCAGUAUCAUAAUGCUGUGUUCAAGUGACCCUUAUCCUGCUUAGUAAUGACCCCAAAGUGCAGGAGUCCUGAUACAGCAAUUUAGGUAUGCCGCAGAGAAUCAAUAGUACCAGUACCUCCUUUAGGUAAAAAAGAUGAAAGUUUAUCAUAGGUAUGUAUGUAUCCAAAGAAACACAAUAUACGUAAGGUUGGUAGUCGAGGUUGUGGGCAUCCACUGGGUCUUGCAAGACAGCCCUGAGGACAUGAGGUGGUACAUUCAAUUCAAAUUAUAGAGAAUGGUAGUAGCAGGAGUGGGAGGGAGGGGGAGAUGGGGAAUUAGUAUAUUGAGGACAGAGUUCAGUUUGAAAAUGAAGUUCUAGACAUACUUUCAGCACCCUGUGAAUAUACUUAACUACCCACCAAAAGGGGGACAAGAUGGUAAAUUUUACAUGAUGUGUAUUUUGCCGCAGAUUAAAAAAAAAAUAAAAACUGGACUGGUCUCUG
rnacentral:lncRNA from 1 species